AUAACUUUUUAACCACAACUCCAAAUGAGCCCCUCCGAGAGAGAACUGUUUCCGGCAAAUCUUUUCGCGGCUUCACCGCACUUCUCCCCGAUGCCUUCUUCACCCCCAGCUUGCAGGUCGUGCCUGGAUUGCUUGCUUGUUUGGUGUUGUCCCUGUG